GUAGGCAGCGCAUCAGGGCUUCUCGACCCGGGCACUACUCGCCCGGGUCGAAAACGUUCCAUGUUAGAGAUGUCUGAAAAAUGGGGACAGUUUUGUGCUAGUGGUAUUAAAGUUUGUGUUCGGGUUCUUCAUAAGUGAUAAAUGACUGUUGUAUUUUAUUUUGGUUGUUAUUAUAUAACAUUCAGAUUGUGUUUUAUAAUGGAGCUCAGCUAGUUUCUCAAAUGGAGUUGUGCUAUGUCGUAUGCGGUCAUGGCAUGUAGCUGCUAACUACCCAGAAAGGAAGUCCAUUUUUGGUGUUCUACUAUUGCGUCAACCUGCAAACAACACGUAAUAAAACGGAACUUCUGUCCUUCGCACGAGAUAACAUCAAACGAAUUUACUGGAACAGAAUUCGUGGAAAAAUUUAGUGAUGAUCGUAAUCCACGACUUCGGUUAUUCUUGAAGGAAAAAAGAAGAAACGUGAUCAGUGCAUAGUACUUGCACGGAAUUAAAUUUAUAA